GUGUUUUAUCAGAUAUAAAACGCGAGGCGCAGCCGAGCGUUUUAUAUCUGAUAAAACACGACAACGAGUGUUUUGAAUAGCUUAAAAUACGACUACAAAAGAAUACUAAUUAGGAUGAACCAUAAUAUAAUCAUGCUAAUUAAGAUGAACAAUUAUAUAAUGCCACAUGUGUUUUAUCAGAUAUAAAGUCACUCCACGUGACAUAUUAUGGCUGACAUGAUUUGCCACAAGGUUUAUGAAUUAUUAAUGAGUAUUUUAAGUACUAUUUAAAACACGAGUAGGAGUGUUUUAUCAGAUAUAUAACGCGAGGCGCAGCCGAGCGUUAUAUAUCUGAUAAAACACGACAACGAGUUUUUUGAAUAGCUUAAAAUACGACUACAAAAGAAUACUAAUUAGGAUGAACCAUAGUAUAAUCAUGCUAAUUAAGAUGAACAAUUA